GACGAACGCUGGCGGCGUGCUUAACACAUGCAAGUCGAACGGACGAGUGAGAUAAGUUUACUUAACUCACAAGUUAGUGGCGGACGGGUGAGUAACACGUGGAUAAUCUGCCCCUUACCCUGGGAUAACACUGUGAAAACGGUGCUAAUACCGGAUGACUUCAGGGAGCCGCAAGGCAGCCUGAAGAAAGGAGGAAUCCGGUAAGGGAUGAGUCCGCGGCUGAUUAGCUAGUUGGUGGGGUAAAGGCUCACCAAGGCGACGAUCAGUAGCCGGCCUGAGAGGGUGAACGGCCACACUGGGACUGAGACACGGCCCAGACUCCUACGGGAGGCAGCAGUGGGGAAUCUUCCGCAAUGGGCGAAAGCCUGACGGAGCAACGCCGCGUGGGUGAAGAAGGCCUCGGUUGUAAGACCUGUCUUAUGGAAGAAGAAAGUAGACGGUACCGAUAGGAGGAAGGCCACGCGACUAACGUAGUCCGACGCGACGACGCCGGUAACGGAACGUACGUACGUACUACGUAGCGGGC
rnacentral:rRNA from 1 species